GCAGCAUGGGAUCCAGCUAGUAGGGGCAAGUCUAUUAAACAGUGAGCAGCCUGUGGCUGCUCACUGUUAAAAAACAAUUUCCCUCCUCACGAGCCUCCUGAAUUUAAAAAACAAUUUCCCCCCUCCUGAUUUUACUAAUAGGUGGGUAGGUAGAGGUAAUUUUUUGGGGGGCAGAGGGGUGACUAGGGGUUUGGGGACCCCUAGUCACAUGGGGGGGUAAAUUUUUAUUUAGGGCCCCCACCCACCGCACAUUAGGUCCCCCCUUAUUGUUAUUUAGGGCCCCCACCCACCGCGCAGUGGUGGGGGACAGGGGGGAGGACAUUAGUUCCCCCCUUAUUGUUAUUUAGGACACCCACCCACCGCGCAGGGGUGGGGGCCAGGGGUAGGACAUUAG